rnacentral:rRNA from 1 species
AGAGUUUGAUCCUGGCUCAGGAUGAAUGCUGGCGGCGCGCCUUAGGCAUGCAAGUCGAACGAACUAGUUUACUAGUUAGUGGCGGACGGGUGAGUAAUGCAUAGGAAUCUACCUUUUGGUGUGGAAUACCCCAGAGAAAUUUGGGUUAAUACCGCAUGAACUCUUCGGAGUAAAGGCCAUAACUGGCCGCCGGAAGAGGAGCCUAUGUCCUAUCAGCUUGUUGGUAAGGUAAAAGCUUACCAAGGCUAUGACGGGUAGGGGGUGUGAGAGCAUGACCCCCCACAAGGUCACUGAUACACGGGGCCUACACCUACGGGUGGCAGCAACCAGGAAUAUUGCGCAAUGGGCGAAAGCCUGACGCAGCGACGCCGCGUGCGGGAUGAAGACCUUCGGGUUGUAAACCGCUGUGGAGAGGGAAGAUAAUGACGGUACCUCUCUAGAAAGCACCUGCUAACUACGUGCCAGAAGCCUCGGUGAUACGUAGGGUGCAAGCAUUAUCCGGAUUUACUGGGCGUAAAGAGUAUCGUAGGCGGUUUUGUUAGUGAUUGUUGAAAUCCUUAGGCUCAACCUAAGAACUGGCAGUCAUACUGCAAGACUAGAGUGAUUUCGGGAAGGCUGGAAUUUUCGGUGUAGGGGUGAAAUCCGUUGAUAUCGAAAAGAACACCAAGGGCGAAGGCAGGCCUUUAGGAAUCUACUGACGCUGAUGAACGAAAGCUUGGGGAGCAAAAGGGAUUAGAGACCCCUGUAGUCCAAGCCGUAAACGUUGUUCACUAGAUGGUUUAGUUUUACUGAACUGUCGUAAGCUAACGCGUUAAGUGAACCGCCUGGGGAGUACGACCGCAAGGUUAAAACUCAAAGGAAUUGACGGGGAAAUGCACAACCAGGGGAGCAUGUGGUUUAAUUCGAUACAAAGCGUAGAACCUUACCUGGGUUUGACAUCCUGGUGACCGGUUAUAGAAAUAUAACUUUUCUUUAUGACACCAGUGACAGCUGCUGCAUGGCUGUCGUCAGCUCGUACCGUGAGGCGUCGGCUUAAGUGCCGCAACGAGCGCAACCCCCGCCGUAUGUUGUAUAUCAUACGGGACUGCCUGACUAAAAAGUCGGGAGGAAGGAGGGGACGACGUCAAGUCAGCACGGCGCUUACAUCCAGGGCAACACACAUCCUACAAUGGUGAGGGACAAUGGGCUGCUAAACCGUAAGGUGGAGUUAAUCCUAAAAACCCUUCCUCAGUUCAGAUUGUGGGCUGAAAUUCGCCCACAUGAAGUCGGACUUGGUAGUAAUCGCGGGUCAGCAGACCGCGGUGAAUACGUUCUCAUUUCUUGUACACACCGCCCGUCACAUGAGGAAAGUCGGCAGCGCCCGAAGGGGCUCUUUAUAGGGCAACUAAGGUGAGGUCGGCGAUCAGCGUGAAGUCGUAACAAGGUA